UAAUGAUGACAAUGGUACUAGAGCCAAGGUACUGAAGUCAGUGGUUUCCUGAGUGAGAAGUGUCAUUUUCGUCAUGUGUUCAGGGGGAAACUGAAGGAGAGGAAUAACUUUCUGGGAACUGAGAACAGAAGGUAACACAGAUUGAUGGAGCUAGAGAAAAGUCAGUGCCAGCUGCAUUUAAUACAACUACAAUUCCAUGUUAAAAUCAAAUGCAAGAACCAUGGAAUUCAACAGGGACCCACAGAGAUCAUCUGAUCUAUCCUUCUACCCCUAAGACAGUAAUCAGAGUGACUACUCCACAGAAGAUUGCAGGAAAAGAUGGGAAGUGAAACUAUUUUUCAUGCUACAACCCUUCCCCUCAAUUUUGUGGUUUUGUGGACCAACUACUCAUGAACCUCCAAUUCCUCUCUUCUGAAAAUUUCCUAAUACUGGAGUUUCCUUAUCUUGCCUAUGGCCACCAACACAACUCAUUAUGCAUUUUGAAUCCCUUCCCCAGAAAUAGGUUCUGCAUUGAAGUAUGAAAUAUGCUGGUUGGCUUGGCCAAGACAAGGAAAUUACAGUAAAAUUGAAAAAAAAAACACAUGAAAUUUGUUUUUGGGGCUUCUCUGUCAUCCUAUUUAUCUCCUCAUCUCUU